rnacentral:tRNA from 1 species
AAGCCCGUGGCUCAAUGGUAGAGCUUUUGACUCCUAAACUACAGGUCGCGGGUUCGAAUCCCAGGUUUG